rnacentral:rRNA from 1 species
AGUGAACGCUGGCGGUAGGCCUAACACAUGCAAGUCGAACGGCAGCACAGUACGAGCCUGCUCUUACGGGUGGCGAGUGGCGGACGGGUGAGGAAUACAUCGGAAUCUACUUUUUCGUGGGGGAUCACGUAGGGAAACUUACGCUAAUACCGCAUACGCCCUACGGGUGAAAGCAGGGGAUCUUCGGACCUUGCGCGAUUGAAUGAGCCGAUGUCGGAGUAGCUAGUUGGCGGGCUAAAGGCCAACCAAGGCGACGAUCCGCAGCUGGUCUGAGAGGAUGGUCGGCCACACUGGAACUGGAACACGGUCCAGGCGCCUACGGGAGGCAGCAGUGGGGAAUAUUAGACAAUGGGUGCAAGCCUGAUCCAGCGAUACCGCGUGGGUGAAGAAGGCGUUCGGGUUGUAAAGCCCUUUUGUUGGGAAAGAAAAGCAGCAGGUUGAUACGCCGCUGUUCUGACGGUACCCAAAGAAUAAGCACCGGCUAACUUCGUG